AGUGAACGCUGACGGUAGGCCUAACACAUGCAAGUCGAACGGCAGCACAGGAGAGCUUGCUCUCUGGGUGGCGAGUGGCGGACGGGUGAGGAAUACAUCGGAAUCUACUCUGUCGUGGGGGAUAACGUAGGGAAACUUACGCUAAUACCGCAUACGACCUACGGGUGAAAGCAGGGGACCUUCGGGCCUUGUGCGAUUGAAUGAGCCGAUGUCGGAUUAGCUAGUUGGCGGGGUAAAGGCCCACCAAGGCGACGAUCCGUAGCUGGUCUGAGGGGAUGAUCAGCCACACUGGAACUGAGACACGGUCCAGACUCCUACGGGAGGCAGCAGUGGGGAAUAUUGGACAAUGGGCGCAAGCCUGAUCCAGCCAUACCGCGUGGGUGAAGAAGGCCUUCGGGUUGUAAAGCCCUUUUGUUGGGAAAGAAAUCCAGCUGGCUAAUACCCGGUUGGGAUGACGGUACCCAAAGAAUAAGCACCGGCUAACUUCGUGCCAGCCGCCGCCGUAA
rnacentral:rRNA from 1 species